GUCUACGGCCAUACCACCCUGAAUAUGCCUGGUCUUGUCUGAUCUCGAAGCUAAGCAGAGUCAGGCCUGGUUCGUACUUAGAUGGGAGAAAAUUGUUGUUCUUUUCA
rnacentral:rRNA from 1 species